rnacentral:rRNA from 1 species
CUACGGGUGGCUGCAGUGGGGAAUAUUGCACAAUGGGCGCAAGCCUGAUGCAACCAUGCCGCGUGUGUGAAGAAGGCCUUCGGGUUGUAAAGCACUUUCAGCGGGGAGGAAGGCGUUAAGGUUAAUAACCUUGGCGAUUGACGUUACCCGCAGAAGAAGCACCGGCUAACUCCGUGCCAGCAGUCGCGGUAAUACGGAGGGUGCAAGCGUUAAUCGGAAUUACUGGGCGUAAAGCGCACGCAGGCGGUCUGUCAAGUCGGAUGUGAAAUCCCCGGGCUCAACCUGGGAACUGCAUUCGAAACUGGCAGGCUAGAGUCUUGUAGAGGGGGGUAGAAUUCCAGGUGUAGCGGUGAAAUGCGUAGAGAUCUGGAGGAAUACCGGUGGCGAAGGCGGCCCCCUGGACAAAGACUGACGCUCAGGUGCGAAAGCGUGGGGAGCAAACAGGAUUAGAUACCCGUGUAGUC